ACCUGGCUCACACCGGUUUAAACUCAGAUCAUGUAAAAUUUUAAAGGUCGAACAGACCUAAUAUAUGAUAGCAUCUUCACCAACAAUUAAUUUUAAUCCAACAUCGAGGUCGCAAUCUUUUUAUUCGAUAAGAACUCUAAAAAAAAUUACGCUGUUAUCCCUAAGGUAAUUUUAUCUUAUAAUCUAAAUUUUAGGAUCAUAAAUUCAUAAAUAAAUGGAUUAAUAAAAAAAAAGUUUUUUCAAUUUUUUUGUCACCCCAACAAAAUAUUUUUUUAAUAAAAAUAAUUUAUAGGCCAAAAUUUCAUUAAAUUAAAAAAAUAUAAAACUCUAUAGGGUCUUCUCGUCUUCUAUACAUAUUUAAGCUUUUUAACUUAAAAAUAAAAUUCAAAUUAAUUUUUAUAGAGACAGUAAUUUUCUUAUCCAACCUUUCAUUCCAGCUUUCAAUUAAAAAACUAAUGAUUAUGCUACCUUUGCACGGUUAAUAUACCGCGGCCAUUUAACUUCUCAUUGGGCAGGCUARACCUAAAAUUAUAAUCAAUAGGCC
rnacentral:rRNA from 1 species